rnacentral:siRNA from 1 species
CUAACAUACUAACUACUGCUAA